UAGAAAAGAACAAAAAAAACAACAAAAACCCACCUUAAAGAAGAGUCAGCAAUAACUAAAAGAGUAGUUGGAGCCUCAAAGAAUCAACAAAAGUACAUGGCAAAAGAAAAAAACCAACAAGAAGGGGAGAAUAGCAGGAAACCAUAAUAAACACAAAAAGUCAGUUAAGGCGGAAGAGACAGAGAGAGAGAAUGCAUGCCUUGGUUAUAAGAACAAAGGUUAAAAGAGUUUGAGUGUAGAUAGUGAACACUCUCUCCCGAGGUCACAUGAGAAAGAGCUGCAACGAGAGACAUAGAACUGCUAAGUUUCUGUUUAUGUCUAGUAAAGCCAGCUUCUUGCAGACAUGAUGUGAA
rnacentral:misc_RNA from 1 species